UUGCGACCCCUCGGUCGGCGCGUCUCCACACAAGUCAAACGAAUAAAGGUCAGCUGUGGUAACGUCAACGUGACAUGUAGGUAGCCACCGAGCGAUCCGCUUGUCGUUGAUGAAUUGCAGAAAAAAUCAAAACAGAAGCUACAUGGAAUGUGAUGUGCAGUGAAUGCUAGCCAAAUUAUUAUAAUUCGUUAAUCUUAUACUGUUAUUAUUAGCAUUAGUAGAUCGAAAGUGAACUUAUGUACUCGAUUGAAUAGUGUGCUGAUAACCUAUAAUUGAAAUAGUACGGUGGUAAAUCUAAUCACAAUUAGUUAAUACUAAGUUCUAAAACUACAGAACUACUACGUGGGCAGAUCCCUUUGAUGCUCUAGUCGUUGCGUCAGUACUUUAGCGAAAGUGGUCCAGGUAAAUCUAAUUGGAAUGAGCCUAGAGAUUUUUUAACUAGUAAGCUAAUGAAUUACAGAGCUAAUUCCCGAAUCAUAAAAGUGGCCAGAAGGAGAAAAACCAAACCGAAAUAAGAAAACUAAACGUGAGUCCCACAACCUUUGUAAUUUAUGCCUGCCUAUUCAAUUUUUGCUAUGUUACAGGAUUUUUUUAAUACACCACUGCUAUUAAAAACACGGAAUUCUUACUUCUGACCGGU